CCUGCCGCAUUCUUUCAGUGCUUUAACUGCAAAGGUUUAUUAAGAUGUUCCUUUGCUUCGACUGGCUUUUUGACAUUCCGUUUUCUAUCUCUCGAUCACUGCGACAGCCAAGUGGCAAGAUAGGACGCCCUCUAGGGAUGUGAUCUCAGGAAAGAAUUCCGGCCUCGAUAAGUUACUUUAAGAAAAAGUGCAUGGAAUUCCGCUCAGCGCGGCGAGCAAUCCUACAGCUGCUGCGUACGGUGACUCCCGCGGACCUCCCAGCGCUGCUCGAGUGGAUGCGAACAACCCGGGAUUUUGAUGAAUUCACUCAAGAUAAUAACGACAUUCUGUUGAAAAACAUAGCAGAGGACCUUCGGAAUUGCUUACCUCUAGAAACCAUGCUUUCCUCAGAACAUGUAGCCCUCCAAAAAAUACAGCAGCAGCCAGAACCCACAGUUCACGUUGAUGCAUUCCUUUAUGAUGAAGACUUUAUUGAUUCAUUAUGUGAGGAAGGAAAAAUGAGCAGAAAUUACUGUAUGGUGUGUGGCUCACACCAGACGGCACCUUUAGGAUUCAUUUCUCAUUCCUUCUCCCUCAUGGAAUUGAAGUUCAUUUAUCAUCAUGUGCUCCCUGAUCUGUCGGGAAAGGUCUUGGUUGAUGUUGGCUCCAGGCUUGGCACAGUCCUCUAUGGGGUAAAGUCCAGCUUGUGGACAUAUUCAACAUUUGGAAAAUACUUUCUCCUCCUGCUAGCAACAGUUUUGCCUGCCACCAUCCAAGAUCGCAGACACCAGACUGACUUCCCUAAGCCAAACAGGACACAUCUCCAGCCACCUGCCUCUAGUGUCAGACUGUGCAUGAUUUUCCAUUAUAUUCCCCACGGGUUAACUCCUUUCUUGCUUUCUGCUGCUGUAACUUCCCAAGAAAUUACAGAAACAGGGUAUUAAACAGAGAAUCUGUAUGCGAUCACUUUUCUCAUUUCCAACUUUAUUGUAUGCACAGUUUCGUCAGGAAAAGUAAGAAGUCAAUCUUUCAAAAUAUAAUUGCUUUUAAAUAAUGAAAUUAAUAAACUACAGUCAAGAUCUUGAUCAGUAAGAGUUUGAGUUCUCGAAGUUACAAGUUUUACAUACAUGUUAUUUAUCUUUCAUUUUAUUUUUACUUUAUUGAAUUCUAUUUUUUUAAAGUGUGAUUUUUUUUCUUAAUUUUGUGUAGAAAUGAACUCACAGUUCAUUUACUUGCAUCAUAACAUGCCUUUAUUUUUUCAGGGUUAUCUUUACAGUUCAGCACUGCAACUAUAUGGAGUAGAAUUGAAUGGAGACUUUUGCCAGUUGCAGGAAAUGGUCAUAAAAAAAUACCAGUUCACUGACAGAAUAAAGGUGCUUCAUGCAGACAUCUGUACCCAGGGUUCACUGCUGCAAAAUGCUGAUGUCAUUAUCAUGAAUAAUGUCUUCGAAUAUUUUCUUGAUGAGGCAGAACAGGCCAG